rnacentral:rRNA from 1 species
CUGGCGGCAUUAGCGCGGUGGUCCCACCUGACCCCAUGCCGAACUCAGAAGUGAAACGCCGUAGCGCCGAUGGUAGUGUGGGGUCUCCCCAUGCGAGAGUAGGGAACUGCCAG